rnacentral:rRNA from 1 species
CGUGUAGGCGGCUUGACAAGUCAGAUGUGAAAUCCCCGGGCUUAACUCGGGAAGUGCAUUUGAAACUGUCUGGCUAGAGUAAGGGAGAGGAAAGUGGAAUUCCCGGUGUAGAGGUGAAAUUCGUAGAUAUCAGGAGGAAUAUUGGUGGCGAAGGCGACUUUCUGGCCCUAUACUGACGCUGAGACGCGAAAGCGUGGGUAGCAAACA